rnacentral:tRNA from 1 species
GCCCGCUUAGCUCAGUUGGUAGAGCGUUUCCCUCGUAACGAAAAGGUCGCCAGUUCGAUUCUGGCAGUGGGCU